UGAAUGUUCUCAACUGAUAAUCAUAUUUUUUUAUAAGAGAGAAUAACGUUUAUGGAAAGAGUAUUUUUUCUUAUCGGUGUAAAAUCCAAUGAUACGUUAUUAACCUAACAUUAUGUGAACGUAAGUACAUGUAUAUUUGCUUCAGUGAGGUCAUAUAAUAGGAGCAUGUGAUUAGAUAGCGUUUGCAGUUAUCAUCUUAUAGUUAUAACGUAUUUUCUCUUUACCAAAAGUAAAUUAUUAUUUCAUAAACUAUUAUAUCUUGUAAUUAAUUUAAUAUAUUAAAAUAAUUUAGAAAUUUGAAUCCAAUGCAUUUAAUUAUAACUUAUAUAGUAUAAUUUAUUUUUCGAGAAAAAUAUACAUUUCAACAAUAUGGCAACGUUAGAUGUAAAAAAAUUGAAAAUUACAGAAAGACCAUUAUAUGUACCAAGUCUUCAUGAAAUAAAAAAUGUUUUAGAAGAAGGAUUAUCUACAAAUUUUGCAGAAGUCAAAGUAGAAGUUGUAGAUUGUCCAGAUUUAACACAGAAACCAUUUUUACUUUCUGCUUCAGGAUUAAGUGGCAACCCUACGAUUCUUGAAUUCGGAGGUCCAUCUUAUCUAUUGCCUCUUGUUCAAAGGGAUAAGAUAUAUGACAUUCGUCAGCUUCUAGAACACUUAAACUAUUCUGAUAAGGCUUUUGUUAUUGGUGCAGGUGCUGGACCAUGGCCAUAUUUAAAUUGCAAUUGUGAAUUAAUGAUGAAUUUAGUAAUUUCAUCAUCUGAAGUAAAGAAUGAAACACGUAUUGCUUCAGUUGAUAAGUCGAAUGAAAAAUGUACACUUGAAAUAUUAAAUGGGAAUGAAACACGACUUGCAUUGUUAGCAAAUCUUUUUUUAAGUCAAGGUGAAACAGGAUCUGUUUUAAAAGUGCAUGUUAAAAAGCGCAUUGGAGAGGAUGAUUUUGUAGCCUCUAUGCAAAAAGCACUUGCACACCAUUAUAAAAAUAAACUUGUCGGCAUUGGUGGAACAUUUUUAAUUAACAAAGGAAAAGUAAAACAGCAUGUAAUGCAAGAUUUUUCUACUAAAUCAUUAAAUAAUGUACAGCAACUAAAUGAUUGGUUACGUUUUUAUAAUAUGUCAACUCCUCUUGUUGCUGUUGGAACAUUUGUGAGUUCAGAAACAGAUUUAGAUCUGAGAGUACAACAUUUUCACAGUUUCUCACACCAUGGUGAAGGAGGACAUUAUCAUAUUGAUACUACUCCUGAGACUAUAGAAUAUUUGGGAUAUUUUAAUUUAGGAAACAAUUUAUACCGUAUCGAUCAACCAGACAAAAGUUUAAAAUUUGGAAAGGACUAACUUAUUAUAUGCAUAUAAACUAUUGGUUUGCCCAAUAAGAGUAAUAUCAAAAUAUUGAAAAUUUUGAUAUUACUUAUUAGUUAAUCCAACAUUUACAUAGUUUUAUUAUACAUACAUACAUAUAUACUCACACACGCGCACAGAGAGAGGGGGGGAGAGAGACACCCACAACAUGUAUAUAUGUAUGUAUGUUUGUGUGAGAACAUGCACAGAUGAUAUAACUAU